AGGUGUUUGUCCAAGUGUUCUGAAGAAAAUUUGCUGAGACAAUGGUCUUGAUAGGCGGCCAUAUCGGAAGGUAUGGUGUGCUUCAGUAAAGAGCUUGAAUGAUGGCUAAGAGAGAGUAGUCUUAUGCUUAUGGACCUUUUCAUUUGACUAAUCAACUUCUCCUGUUCUGGAUCAAGCUAAAUAUUUUCUUUCAAAGGUGUAUAAAGAAUAAUUCAAGUCAACAUGAAAUGCAAUUUUUUCCUUUAGUAGAAGUGUUGGAAGAUCCUUCAAUCUUCUGCCUUAACAUUAGGAAAUUAAUCCUCCUGAAAACAUGAAAUUUGAAAUCUGGUUAGAAAAUCUAAUUGAUAUGGAGAUUUGAUUUGCUGCAACUAAUUUCCUACUUUUCUAUUUAUAGCAGCUGUAUAUAUUAAUAUAGAUGCUGAUUCUCAGCAUAUAAGGAAUUUAGCUUUUCUCUAGACUUCUCAUAGUAUCAAAGCAUUAGGCUCUUUUAGCCUUCGUUGGCAUUUGUGCGCUUGUUUUUCUAUAACGGGAAAAAGAACCAAAAGAGUUAGCGACCUCAUUUCCUUGAAGCUGCUCUAACAUGUCUGCUCUCUCUAUAUGUAUCUCUGCAUGCCAAAGUCGACCUUGGUGGAUUAUCUCCUCUUGUCUUAUUAUUUUCUCUUGUGGCCCUCGUCAUCGCACUACUGGCACUGGCUGCAUUGUUGGCUCCCUUAUCGAGCUCAAAUUCUCUAUCUGCAACCUUAGUCAUCAAGAUCCUUGCCAAAACUCUCCGUCACCAUCCUUACAGGUGGAGACCUGGUGCCUCAUCCUAGAGAAGAUGUCAGGAAGAACAAAAUUAGAUGACAAUAUGAGGCAAAACUAGUAUGAUGAGACAAGAAAAUAAAACUAUAUCAAGUAGCAAAUCUAUUAUAUUGCUAUGUUCGACUCUCCCUUGUGUUGUUGGACUACGAUUACCUUCAAAGCAUGGGAAGUUACCAGUUCAUCUGUAGGCCUCCGGCAUCUAUCUGUAGUGUUCAAUAUAGGUACAGUCCUCAACAUC
rnacentral:lncRNA from 1 species